GUGCCCAUAGUUUAGCGGUAAAACGCUGGGUUGUGGUCCUAGUAUCAAGGGUUCGACUCCCUUUGGGCACCCCA
rnacentral:tRNA from 1 species